rnacentral:lncRNA from 1 species
GCAUGCAUCUGCUCUCCCCAUUUAAAACAGACUGGUGUGCUGGACAAUGAGAGUUCUCUUUCAGGAGGACAAGAACCCUGGACAGCCAAACGUCUGCUGGGCUAGCUCUAGUCACGCCUGCCUCUUUUUAAAGAGCACGGAACCAGAGAGGGGAUGUGAACUUGCCAGAGGUUGAGAAUCACCUCUGCUACCCUCAAUUGCCCCAUGAGCCUGCCCCCAGUGGCCAGAGGAGUGUGAUUUACAAGGUCGUUCCAUGUUGAAAAUGGAACCUCUGGGGUACCCACACUCGAUGCUUUCACGAAAAGGACCCGCUGUUGCCCUCCCAAGUAGGACCUCAUAUCACCCUCUGGCCCUGCCAUCAAUCGAUUGGCUCAGGAUAACCAGAGGACGUCAUUCAGGCCAUGGUCUUAAUGACGUAAGAGCUGCCUUGUGAAGGAGCCUGGGCCAGCCUGCUGAAGGAUGAGAGACCUCAUGGAGGAAAAUCCUAGUGCCCUGACCAACGAUCAGCCAGACCCCAGAAUCAGAGGCACCCAGCUGCCCUGACACCCACCACAGACACAUAAGAGAGUGUACUCAAGACCAGAAGAAGAAUCCAGUUGACCAGUGGACUGGGGGAGUCUCCAACCUUUGAAUCUUGGCUGGUCUUGUGACUUGCUUUGACUAAUAGAAUGUGGCAGAAACAGCACUGUACAAGUUUCAAAGCCUUGCAGCUUCUGUCUCCGCCAUCAUGGAAUGCUUCCCUGAGACCAUGUAAGGAAGCUACUCUAGCCUGCCGGAGGAGGAGAAGCCAUGCGGGAGAAGCAUGGCAUCAUGGCCCACACUUAGCAUCAGCUGCCAAAUAUACAAGUGAGCCUCUCUGGGACCUUCCAACCCAACUGACCCUCCAGCAUCCAGCAUUUUGAGUUCAGGCAGAAGCAGCAGAGGAGCCACCCCGCCGACCUACAGAAGCAUGGAGAAUGAGUCAUUGUUGCUUUAAGUUAGUAAGCUUUGGGGUGGUUUGUUACAUAGCAAAGGCUGAGUCCCUAUUUCCUCAUUCAAAUGGGAUAAUAAUACCAACCCAAUCUAUUCAUGUGUUUAUCCAACAGAGUUAUGCAUGACCUACUAUAUACUGUCUAUAGAAUAUAUAUGGAUAUAUAAUUUUGAGAAUCAAAUGAGAUAACGAAUGUUAGUAUACCUGGUAAUUUUAGUUUUAUUAUUGUUACUAGCCCCUCCAUUUCAUUGAGCUCCACCAUUUUUUAAGCACUUAAAUUCCCUUUAUAUUUGAUCCUCUCAAAGGAUCAGAGAGCAUCAUUUCCAGUCUUCUCUGAUGCAGCUGGUCCUUUGGCACCUGACCUGCUACUCUCAUUAGCAGAUAGGUCUGCCCUUAGAUAAAGGACCUCUGGAACUUUGUUCUUACAGGGCCAGAAAUUCACUCAUUACAGGAAGCAUACAACCACUGCGAUAAUGCGCAAUGAUGGAGGGCUUUCCCGUUACCAUCCCAAUAAGAGCCUUUUAAAAAAUUCUUUAACAACGAUAAUAAUGACUAAAGUUUAUUGAACACUUACUAUGUGCCAGGUGCAGUACUGAGUUUUUUAGUGAACUGUAGUUUGACUCAACAGCAGUCCAAGGUAGAUACUAUUAUUAUCCA